CAGAACUGGUGGUGCCGCGGCCAGUGGGAUCUCGCCCCUGAGGAUGAUGGGGGGCGGAGGGCGGCCCCUGCCCCUGGCCCACCAUGUGCCCUCCUGGCUGGCAGGGCCAUCCAGCUUGCUCCGUAGAAGUCGGAUCUACAGACUUGGGCAGAGGGAGAAGGCUGAGGCUGCUUCAUUUUACAGCCAGGCGUGCCUUCUGGUGACCGUGUUCGGCCUGCUGAGGAACCCCCUUCCAUAGGUGCACUGGGGCUGAUUCCACUCCCUGGCUCCAGCAGGCCUGUGUCACCCUGAUAUCAAAGCCAGACAAAGACAUCACAAGAAAACUACAGACCAAUAACCCUCACGAAUAUAGAUCUAAAUGUCCUCAGCUCAACACUAGCAAAUCAAACCCAGCGGCAUAGUAAAGGGACUGUACAUGAUGACCGAGUGCAAUUUAUUCCAGAAAUGCAGAACGGCUCAAAAUGUGAAAAUCGGCCCGUGUAACACACCACAUUAACAGAAUGAAGGAAAACAAUCAUUUCGAUGGUUUCAAAAAAUCCAACACCCGUUCGUGAUAAAGACACAGAGAAACUAGGAGCUCCUUCAACCCGAUAAAGGGCGUCUGUGCCCGUCGCUGUGUG